GCCCUCGUAGCUCAACUGGAUAGAGCACGGGACUUCUAAUCCCGGGGUUGCAGGUUCGAGUCCUGCCGAGGGCGCCA
rnacentral:tRNA from 1 species